rnacentral:lncRNA from 1 species
CAUCUUCAACCAAAUCACCAUCACCAUCUUCCAGUCCUCCUCCUCAAACAACACCUUCUGAUCCACCUUCUCCUCCUCCUCCUCCUAAUCCACCAGCUAUUUCACCUCCCCCGCCACCACCCCAACCCUCUGAAACACCACCUUCUGAUCCACCUACAAGGCCUCCUUCUCCUCCUCCUAAUCCACCAGCUGUUUCACCUGCCCCGCCACCACCCAAACCCCCUGAAACAACACCUUCUGAUCCACCUACAAGUCCUCCUCCUCCUCCUAAUACACCAGCUAUUUCACCUGCCCCGCCACCACCCAAACCCCCUGAAACACCACCUUCUGAUCCACCUACAAGGCCUCCUUCUCCUCCUCCUAAUCCACCAACUCUUUCACCUCCCCCGCCAACACCCAAACCCCCUGAAACACCACCUUCUGAUCCACCUACAAGGCCUCCUCCUCCUCCCAAUCCAUCAGCUAUUUCACCUGCGCCGCCACCACCCAAACCCCCUGAAACACCACCUUCUGAUCCACCUACAAGGCCUCCUCCUCCUCCCAAUCCACCACCAACUCUUUCACCUCCCCCGCCAACACCCAAACCCCCUGAAACACCACCUUCUGAUCCACCUACAAGGCCUCCUCCUCCUCCCAAUCCAUCAGCUAUUUCACCUGCCCCGCCACCACCCAAACCCCCUGAAAGCCCUGCUCCGCCUGUGCCUGGGCCACCAAAACUUGCUCCACCACAACCACCCACAAAGUCCCCAGAA